GGUCGGGAUAGCUCAGCUGGCAGAGCAGAGGACUGAA
rnacentral:tRNA from 1 species